rnacentral:rRNA from 1 species
GAUGAACGCUAGCGGCAGGCCUAACACAUGCAAGUCGAGGGGCAGCAUAAAAUAAACUUGUUUAUUUGGUGGCGACCGGCGCACGGGUGCGUAACGCGUAUGCAACCUACCUUACACAGGGGGAUAGCCCGGAGAAAUUCGGAUUAAUACCCCAUAGCACUAUCGGAUGGCAUCAUUUGAUAUUUAAAGCUUUGGCGGUGUAAGAUGGGCAUGCGUCCUAUUAGCUAGUUGGUGAGGUAACGGCUCACCAAGGCUACGAUAGGUAGGGGGCCUGAGAGGGUGGUCCCCCACACUGGUACUGAGACACGGACCAGAAUCCUACGGGAGGCAGCAGUGAGGAAUAUUGGUCAAUGGGCGCAAGCCUGAACCAGCCAUGCCGCGUGAAGGAUGAAGGUUCUAUGGAUUGUAAACUUCUUUUAUUUGGGAAUAAACCCCUUUACGUGUAGAGGGCUGAAGGUACCAAAUGAAUAAGCACCGGCUAACUCCGUGCCAGCCGCCGCAGUAAUAC